ensembl:snRNA U6 U6 spliceosomal RNA
GCGCUCGCUUCAGCAGCACAUACACUAAAAUUGGAAUGACGCAGAGAAGCACGGCCCUACACAAGGAUGACAUGCAAAUUCAUGAAGACCUCUGUUUAAAA